GACGAACGCUGGCGGCGUGCUUAACACAUGCAAGUCGAACGGAAAGGCCCUGCUUUUGUGGGGUGCUCGAGUGGCGAACGGGUGAGUAACACGUGAGUAACCUGCCCUUGACUUUGGGAUAACUUCAGGAAACUGGGGCUAAUACCGGAUAGGAGCUCCUGCUGCAUGGUGGGGGUUGGAAAGUUUCGGCGGUUGGGGAUGGACUCGCGGCUUAUCAGCUUGUUGGUGGGGUAGUGGCUUACCAAGGCUUUGACGGGUAGCCGGCCUGAGAGGGUGACCGGCCACAUUGGGACUGAGAUACGGCCCAGACUCCUACGGGAGGCAGCUGUGGGGAAUAUUGCACAAUGGGCGGAAGCCUGAUGCAGCAACGCCGCGUGCGGGAUGACGGCCGUCGGGUUGUAAACCGCUUUCGCCUGUGACGAAGCGUGAGUGACGGUAAUGGGUAAAGAAGCACCGGCUAACUACGUG
rnacentral:rRNA from 1 species